rnacentral:piRNA from 1 species
UGACAGGAGAACAGAUUGUGGUGGAGAGU